GACGAACGCUGGCGGCGUGCUUAACACAUGCAAGUCGAACGGUGAAGCGCUUGCCUUUUUGGUGGGUGUGGAUGAGUGGCGAACGGGUGAGUAACACGUGAGUAACCUGCCCUCUUCUUCUGGAUAACCUCAUGAAAGUGGGGCUAAUACGGGGUAUUCCGGGUCUGUCGCAUGGCGGGUUUGGGAAAGAUUGCGCCUUUGGGUGUUUUCGGUGGGGGAUGGGCUCGCGGCCUAUCAGCUUGUUGGUGGGGUGAUGGCCUACCAAGGCGGUGACGGGUAGCCGGCCUGGGAGGGUGGACGGCCCCCCUGGGACUGAGACACGGCCCAGACUCCUGCGGGAGGCAGCAGUGGGGAAUAUUGCACAAUGGGCGCAAGCCUGAUGCAGCGACGCCGCGUGAGGGAUGGAGGCCUUCGGGUUGUGAACCUCUUUCGCCAGUGAAGCAGGCCUGCUCCUGUGUGGGUGGGUUGACGGUAGCUGGAUAAGAAGCGCCGGCUAACUACGUG
rnacentral:rRNA from 1 species